CUCUAAGACGCUCAUCCUGUCGGCAGACGGCGAGAUGGCGACCCAAACCUGUCCUGCAUCAAACAAGACUUGACAGUGAGACCUCGCUGAUCUGGACCGUCGUAUCCGCAAUUUUGGACAAGGAUGUUCGCACAGCAGAGCAUAUUUCAGUACCUGGGGCAGAACGAUUCUGGCGCCUCGUUCUGGGACCUCAGCUUUUCUGGCAUCAACACCUCCAACAUGGUGAGCAGGGAGCGUCCAGUCGGUUGCCGUUCUUGGCAGCCGGCCAAUCACGUGCUGUAUCAGCUGGCCUGCACUGCGAUCGCCAUGGGACUCCUCGCCAUCGACACUCCUUACGGAGCUCUUCUUCUGCACUCCCUCUUUUUCCUCGGGUACCUGCUGAUGUCCAUCUGGUCCUGGGUCAUCUUGUGUGCUCCAGACUUCUUUUCAUGGAACUUCGCUUUCCUGCUGCUCAACGGCGUGCAGACAAUGUCGCUGAUCUACAGCAUCCGACCUGUCCGCUUCUGCCAGGAACUGGAGGAUGUGUAUGUUCACCUCUUUCAGCCGCUCAGAGUUCCAAGGUCCUUGUACAAACGACUGGUUGGGGCAGAGUAUUGCACUCUGAUGACGCUGAAUGAAGGAGAAUUCUACGCCACACAGUCCAUCACCAAGACAGACAAACUGGGUCUCCUCAUCUCUGGAAGCAUGAACGCUUACAGCAACAGAACACUUCUGCACACCAUCAAGGCCAAACAGUUCAUUGAUUCACCGGAGUUCGAAUCCAGCAACAGCGGGGAGGAGAAAUUCCAGGUAUCAAUAGUUGCCGGUGGCGUGUGUCGCUACAUCUUCUGGCCGCGACAGAGUCUGGAGUACCUGCUGGUUCAGGAGCCUUACCUGGCUAAUGUUCUCAACAUCGUCCUUGGCAGGGAUAUUACCAACAAGCUGUACGCCUUAAACGAGAGGGUCUCUGCUCAAGAAGGGUCAAGACUGGACAUUCGUCUGCCGAGUGUGUCGCCAGGCUUGCGGACCAGACGUGACAUUCGCAAAGCAGUGGUGGGAGUGCCCAAUCCCUCCACCGAUGAGGUGCCGGACGAGGCCGCCACCACGGCAGCCAUGGUGGGCACGGUUAUCGGAGAUGCAACCGUUGACGAGGACAGUGAUGACUACGACGGGUACGCGGUGUGAAUUAAACCAGCCUCACGACACAGAGAGACCAGGGUACAGACAUGCUCAGUGACCUUUGCCAGGUCUUCCAUCCGUUAAUAUCCGGCUGAAUCCAGACGUGGCUCGCGAGAGCUAAGAAGUCAUGAUGAUUGUCAACAACUCGCUGGUCUUGGCGACAGCCACGACUCAACAGUCGAACACAGCAGGUGAAAACUCUGGUCGCACCCCAUUUCUACAGAUCACAUCUCCUGCCUUCAACACUUUGAUCAUCAACACCACCCGACAGGUAUUUCAAGCUGCAACACUAUUCGAUGCCAGCGGUUCUGAAGUGGAUGGCCAGGGAGGAGGAGACUUUGGCGUGGAAGGAGUGGUUGGAGGGGAGACAGUGCGCUCGGCAGGAGGUGCCGCGGGGACGGAGAGCGAGCAGCUGGGCUCGUGUCACGACUGGCAGGACGCGCAGCACACUCUGUUCCAGCUGGCCAACCUGUGCAUCGCCGUGUCCCUCCUGACCCCAGCCACUUCCGCUUCCACCUGCUCUUCCUGCGCU
rnacentral:misc_RNA from 1 species